rfam:Nicotiana attenuata strain TT chromosome 1, whole genome shotgun sequence.
UAGACAGAUUAUUGUAUUUGACUGUAUUCACGGCGUGAAACAGGGGAUUACACUGAUUUUAAACGAAAAGUGAAUCAAUUAACAUAAUAGACUCCU